rnacentral:tRNA from 1 species
UAGAUUAUAGAUUAUNCUGGGAGAGCACCUGCCUUACAAGCAGGGGGUCACAGGUUCGAGCCCUGUUGGUCCCACCA